AGUGAACGUUGGCGGCGUGGAUUAGGCAUGCAAGUCGAGCGAGAACCGUAGCAAUACGGGGACAGCGGCGAAAGGGACAGUAAUAUGUAGGUACCUACCCUCGGGUCCGGGAUAGCUGCGGGAAACUGCAGGUAAUACCGGAUGACAUCUCCGGAUCAAAGGUGUGAUUCCGCCCGGGGAGGGGCCUGCAUCCUAUUAGCUAGUUGGUGGGGUAACGGCUCACCAAGGCGACGAUGGGUAGCGGGUGUGAGAGCAUGACCCGCGUCAUUGGGACUGAGACACUGCCCAGACACCUACGGGUGGCUGCAGUCGAGAAUCUUCGGCAAUGGGGGAAACCCUGACCGAGCGACGCCGUGUGCGGGAUGAAGGCCCUCGGGUUGUAAACCGCUGUCGUAGAGGAGGAAAUGCAGGGGGGUUCUCCCCUCUGUUUGACCUAGUCUAGGAGGAAGGACGGGCUAAGUUCGUGCCAGCCGCCGCAGUAA
rnacentral:rRNA from 1 species